UUUAAGAAGAUAUGCUAAAAAAGUUCAUAUGAACCCCACUCAACAAGUUCUUAUAUUUAAUCAAAUAGUACUAAAAUUAUUCGUCUACACAAGAAAUAUACACACAUCGCAUUUUCUCAAUAAAUAAUAUUUCCUCACAUACAUUAUAGAAUUCCUAAUGGUAACUAAAUAUGUGACUUUCAAAAGUGUUGCGACUGUUCUAAUAACAACUUCUUCAUUUUAAACAAAUCGCAACAUCAUCAAAUGAGUAAAUACAAAAUCACGACACCAUUCGAAAACUAUUACAAAUAGAAUUAUGUUAUAUCAUAACUCUAAGUACUAUUUUUGGGUUAAAGC
rnacentral:lncRNA from 1 species